UGUAUCUUCGGCCAUUUUUCAUAGCUAUACUAAUGCAGUUAAACUAAGCUUUGGCCUACAAUUAUUGAUUCAAAUGUCUACAAAGUGGAAUUGAGAUUACAAGAUCUGAAAUUGAUCGUGUUUAUGCAAACUGACUGAACGUAAACAAGCUGCGAAUGUUGACAUCGGAAACUGCUUGAGCGGAACAAAAACUACGGUUAAACAAAUAUUCGUUAAAUUAUGGAUUACAGUUAGGCCAUAAUAUAGCACUAGAUUGAUAUUGAGUUGAGAGUAUACUUGGGUUGAAUCAAAGACCCCUGGGAAGAUAUGCCUGUGCAAUGAUGUUUGGACCAUUUCAUGAAUAAGAUCUACAUCAUUGAUGAAUUAAAAACUCAACAGAGAUGCGGGUUGUGUUGGGAUGUUCCGGAUAUAGUACAGGAACAUUGGAUCACUGUUUUAUGCAGGUGGAAAAAUACCUGUGUUCCUGCAGGUGGAAAAAUACCUGUGUUCCUUCAAAGGUUGAAGUCCACAAUCAAAAAUUAAUUAUGCAUAUUCGAUAAAUUUUGCAAAGUAACAAUUGAAAAUUUGUUACUAUUCAAUUGUCUGCAAAGUGGGACUGUCGAGGUGGGAUGAAAAAGAAAGAUACAUGGACUAAUGGCUAAAGAUAAACUAAAUAAUAAUACAGUUAGGCUAUAAUAUAGCAUUAAAUCGAUGAUUGUUGCCAAAUACCUGACUCGAACACUCACGGAAGUUUAGUUGAAGAGAGGCGAUCAAUGAUUAAUAAGGUAACUGUUAAUUUAUUUAAAUUUAUAAGUGCACAACCGCAUGGCAAUAUGAAUAUAGUAUACAUUCUUGGUCAAACAGAGUGUUAGGAUUCCGUCAGUGUCAUUGUAUUGUCUUCUUAUAUUACCCUUAACAUGAAUCUGAUUACAUAUAGAGGUUUUAAACUACUGGGCUCUUGCGCUGAGAAACGUAUAUUUGUUGUAAGUGCAUUCAGAUUUACAUUUUGAAUAGUCUUCCAAUUAUUCGUCGUUUCGGCUGUUUGACAAAUUCAUUUAUUCUAACGGCAAUUAAUAAAUAAUUUGGCUUCAUUUACAGCUUUCACGUUUCUUCACAGGCAAUUUAUAGGAUUUUACAGUUAUUUGUUUACUAGUGCAGUUAGACUAAUAUUAGGCCUAAAAUUAUUGAUCUGGGGUGGAAUUGGAUCACAAAUUCUGGAAUUGUCGGCAUCGGGAUCUGCUGGAGGAAAUGCGGUUGAAUGAACAUUUAUCCAACAAAAGUUGAUGGGAGACGAAUCUUCGGCAUAGCUGGACAUGGUAGCUACAAGUGAGUUUUUAUCAACACAGUCAUUAAAUAUAGCCCAUGUGACGACUGAUAGAGACGGGAAAUUUGACAUCUGUGAUUAAAUUUCUUCAAACGAAAAAGGAAACGUUUUCAUUUGGGAAGCAAGAGGAAUGACUUUCCGAUACGUCUUAAAUAUAAGAAAAAAUUGUCAAUCAGUGCUUAAAAGUAUCCAAUGUAAGUGAAAAACAUGUGGAGCAAGGUACGGCUUUCCGGCGUGUCUCAAGCAUAAGCAAGGUUAUGUCCUGAUUACGAGGAAAAGCGAAUAAGGUGAAAGCGAAUCUCACGAAUCGAGAGUUUGUUGAAGUAAGUGUAGAUAUUUUUGUCUUUCCAUAUUUAUCACAGUGGAGAGGAAAUCCGUAAGACGGCUUGAUUACGUGGACACCACGGCUUCUCGUCCGGUGAUCAGUUCAUAUCGCUUAUCGGGA